rnacentral:rRNA from 1 species
AAAUUGAAGAGUUUGAUCAUGGCUCAGAUUGAACGCUGGCGGCAGGCCUAACACAUGCAAGUCGAACGGUAACAGGAAACAGCUUGCUGUUUCGCUGACGAGUGGCGGACGGGUGAGUAAUGUCUGGGAAACUGCCUGAUGGAGGGGGAUAACUACUGGAAACGGUAGCUAAUACCGCAUAAUGUCGCAAGACUAAAGAGGGGGACCUUCGGGCCUCUUGCCAUCGGAUGUGCCCAGAUGGGAUUAGCUAGUAGGUGGGGUAACGGCUCACCUAGGCGACGAUCCCUAGCUGGUCUGAGAGGAUGACCAGCCACACUGGAACUGAGACACGGUCCAGACUCCUACGGGAGGCAGCAGUGGGGAAUAUUGCACAAUGGGCGCAAGCCUGAUGCAGCCAUGCCGCGUGUAUGAAGAAGGCCUUCGGGUUGUAAAGUACUUUCAGCGGGGAGGAAGGGAGUAAAGUUAAUACCUUUACUCAUUGACGUUACCCGCAGAAGAAGCACCGGCUAACUCCGUGCCAGCAGCCGCGGUAAUACGGAGGGUGCAAGCGUUAAUCGGAAUUACUGGGCGUAAAGC